GGUCGCGUGGCCAAAUGGUACGGCGUUUGACUACGAUGCAACAUCAUCUUCGUUUAUCAAGAGAUCGCGGGUUCGAUCCCCGUCGUGACCU